CCUACGGGAGGCAGCAGUGGGGGAUAUUGCACAAUGGGGGAAACCCUGAUGCAGCGACGCCGCGUGUGGGAAGACGGUCCUCUGGAUUGUAAACCACUGUCCCCAGGGACGAAGAUGACGGUACCUGGGGAGGAAGCUCCGGCUAACAACGUGCCAGCAGCCGCGGUAAUACGUAGGGAGCGAGGGUUGUCCGGAAUUACUGGGUGAAAGGGGAGGGUAGGCGGGACUGCAAGUUGGGUGUAAAAUCUACCGGCUCAACCGGUAGCCGCACUCAAAACUGCAGUUCUUGAGUGAAGUAGAGGCAGGCGGAAUUCCUAGUGUAGCGGUGAAAUGCGUAGAUAUUAGGAAGAACACCAGUGGCGAAGGCGGCCUGCUGGGCUUUUACUGACGCUGAGGCUCGAAAGUGUGGGGAGCAAACAGGAUUAGAUACCCUAGUAGUC
rnacentral:rRNA from 1 species